UCACAGAACCAUGUCGCCAGCCCUGUGA
rnacentral:piRNA from 1 species